rnacentral:rRNA from 1 species
UACGUAGGGUCCGAGCGUUGUCCGGAAUUAUUGGGCGUAAAGGGCUCGUAGGCGGUUUGUCACGUCGGGCCGGUGAAAAACCUCCAGGGCUCAACCCAUGAGCGUGCGUUCGAUACGGGCAGACUAAGAGGUAUGCAGGGGAGAACGGAAUUCCUGGUGUAGCGGUGGAAUGCGCAGAUAUCAGGAGGAACACCGAUGGCGAAGGCGGGUCUCGUGGGCCGCAUACUGACGCUGAGGAGCGAAAGCGUGGGGAGCGAACAGG